GACGAACGCUGGCGGCGUGCUUAACACAUGCAAGUCGAACGGAAAGGCCCUGCUUUUGUGGGGUGCUCGAGUGGCGAACGGGUGAGUAACACGUGAGUAACCUGCCCUUGACUUUGGGAUAACUUCAGGAAACUGGGGCUAAUACCGGAUAGGAGCUCCUGCUGCAUGGUGGGGGUUGGAAAGUUUCGGCGGUUGGGGAUGGACUCGCGGCUUAUCAGCUUGUUGGUGGGGUAGUGGCUUACCAAGGCUUUGACCGGUAGCCGGCCUGAGAGGGUGACCGGCCACAUUGGGACUGAGGUACGGCCCAGACGCCUACGGGGGGCAGCAGGGGGGAAUAUUGCACAAUGGGAGGAAGCCUGAUGCAGCAACGCCGCGUGCGGGAUGACGGCCUUCGGGUUGUAAACCGCUUUCGCCUGUGACGAAGCGUGAGUGACGGUAAUGGGUAAAGAAGCACCGGCUAACUACGUG
rnacentral:rRNA from 1 species